rnacentral:rRNA from 1 species
CGCCUUGCCAGCCCGCUCAGAAACUCAAAUGAAUUGACGGGGGCCCGCACAAGCGGUGGAGCAUGUGGUUUAAUUCGAUGAUACGCGAGGAACCUUACCUGGGCUCAAAUGUAUGUUGACGUAUUCUGAAAGGGAUACUUCUUCGGACAAUAUACAAGGUGCUGCAUGGUUGUCGUCAGCUCGUGCCGUGAGGUGUCGGGUUAAGUCCCAUAACGAGCGCAACCCCUACUGCUAGUUGCCAGCGGGUCAUGCCGGGGACUCUAGCGGAACUGCCAGCGUAAGCUGCGAGGAAGGUGGGGAUGACGUCAAAUCAGCACGGCCCUUACGUCCAGGGCUACACACGUGUUACAAUGGCCAGUACAGAGGGCAGCCACCCCGCGAGGGGCGCUAAUCCUAAAAGCUGGUCCCAGUUCGGAUCGGAGUCUGCAACCCGACUCCGUGAAGCUGGAUUCGCUAGUAAUCGCGCAUCAGCCACGGCGCGGUGAAUACGUUCCCGGGCCUU